CUCCUCCCUCGGACCCCGCCCGUCGCCUCUUGUUGGAGAGGCAUUUCGACGGGCGGGGGCUGAGGCGU
rnacentral:sRNA from 1 species